UACGUAGGGUGCAGGCGUUAAUCGGAAUUACUGGGCGUAAAGCGUGCGCAGGCGGCUACUCAAGUCAGAUGUGAAAUCCCCGGGCUUAACCUGGGAACUGCGUUUGAAACUGGGUGGCUGGAGUGCGGCAGAGGGGGGUGGAAUUCCACGUGUAGCAGUGAAAUGCGUAGAUAUGUGGAGGAACACCGAUGGCGAAGGCAGCCCCCUGGGCCUGCACUGACGCUCAUGCACGAAAGCGUGGGGAGCAAACAGG
rnacentral:rRNA from 1 species